rnacentral:rRNA from 1 species
UACGGAGGGUGCAAGCGUUAAUCGGAAUUACUGGGCGUAAAGCGCACGCAGGUGGCUAAGUCAGUCGAUUGUGAAAGCCCUGGGCUUAACCUGGGAAUUGCAGUCGAUACUACUUAGCUAGAGUAUGGGAGAGGGCAGUGGAAUUCCCGGUGUAGCGGUGAAAUGCGUAGAGAUCGGGAGGAACAUCAGUGGCGAAGGCGGCCAUCUGGGACAACACUGACGCUGAGGCACGAAAGCGUGGGGAGCAAACAGG